rnacentral:rRNA from 1 species
UACGGAGGGGGCUAGCGUUGUUCGGAAUUACUGGGCGUAAAGCGCGCGUAGGUGGCCCCAUAAGUCCGCUGUGAAAGUCAAAGGCUCAACCUUUGAAAGCCGGUGGAUACUGUGGGACUAGAGUACGGAAGAGGCGAGUGGAAUUCCUGGUGUAGCGGUGGAAUGCGCAGAUAUCAGGAGGAACACCAAUAGCGAAGGCAGCUCGCUGGGACGUUACUGACACUGAGGCGCGAAAGCGUGGGGAGCGAACAGG